rnacentral:rRNA from 1 species
UACGUAGGGUGCAAGCGUUGUCCGGAAUUAUUGGGCGUAAAGAGCUCGUAGGCGGCUUGUUGCGUCUGCUGUGAAAACCCGAGGCUCAACCUCGGGCCUGCAGUGGAUACGGGCAGACUAGAGUGCGGUAGGGGAGAUUGGAAUUCCUGGUGUAGCGGUGGAAUGCGCAGAUAUCAGGAGGAACACCAAUGGCGAAGGCAGAUCUCUGGGCCGUAACUGACGCUGAGGAGCGAAAGCAUGGGGAGCGAACAGG